ACCUAUAAGAGGUCCAGCCUGCCCAGUGACUUUGUUCAACGGCCGCGGUAUCCUAACCGUGCGAAGGUAGCGUAAUCACUUGUUCUUUAAAUGAGGACUAGUAUGAAUGGCACCACGAAGGUUAUACUGUCUCCUUUUUCUAAUCAGUGAAACUAAUCUUCCCGUGAAGAAGCGGGAAUAAAAAUAUAAGACGAGAAGACCCUAUGGAGCUUUAAACAAUUAUACAAUUGCCUCCCCUAAUAAAAAUUUCAGAAAAGACACUUCUAUUUAGGCAUUUUGAUAUAAAGUUUUAGGUUGGGGUGACCACGGAGUAAAAAACAACCUCCGCAGUGAAAGGGGCUUUCCCCUAAGCCAAGGGCUACAACCCUAAGAAUCAAUAAAUUGACACUAAUUGACCCAAUUAAUUGAUCAAUGAACCAAGUUACCCUAGGGAUAACAGCGCAAUCCACUUCAAGAGCCCCUAUCGACAAGUGGGUUUACGACCUCGAUGUUGGAUCAGGGUAUCCUAGUGGUGCAGCCGCUACUAAUGGUUCGUUUGUUCAACGAUUAA
rnacentral:rRNA from 1 species